rnacentral:rRNA from 1 species
AGAAUCAACGCUGGCGGCGUGCCUAACACAUGCAAGUCGAACGCGAAAGGGACUUCGGUCCUGAGUAGAGUGGCGAACGGGUGAGUAACGCGUGGGUGACCUACCCUCGAGUGGGGAUAACGUUCCGAAAGGGACGCUAAUACCGCAUGACAUUCCGGGUUUGAAGACCUGGAAAUCAAAGCCGGGGACCGCAAGGCCUGGCGCUAGAGGAGGGGCCCGCGUCUGAUUAGCUAGUUGGCGGGUAACGGCCCACCAAGGCGACGAUCA